UACGGAGAAUGCGAGCGUUAUCCGGAUUUAUUGGGUUUAAAGGGUGCGUAGGCGGGAUGCCAAGUCAGCGGUAAAAAUGCGGUGCUCAACGCCGUCGAGCCGUUGAAACUGGCGUUCUUGAGUGGGCGAGAAGUAUGCGGAAUGCGUGGUGUAGCGGUGAAAUGCAUAGAUAUCACGCAGAACUCCGAUUGCGAAGGCAGCAUACCGGCGCCCUACUGACGCUGAGGCACGAAAGCGUGGGUAUCGAACAGG
rnacentral:rRNA from 1 species